rnacentral:tRNA from 1 species
AAGAACUUAGUUAAAUUAAUAACAUUAGCUUGUCAAGCUAAAAUUACUUCCUGAAAAGUAGCUCUUA